AUGUGCAGCUGUGUUAUCAUGGAUUUCCAGUGAACAAGGGCCACAAAAAUCCAUCUAUUUUCAUCAUCCCCAGAGCACCAGGACUACAACAAUAAGAACAGCUCUAUGGAAAUGAUGAGGAACAAGUUUCAGAGAACAGAAGGAAUUUGUCUUGGGCUGCACAGUCACUAAGGAGAGAGCAGGCACCCAAACUGUGCCAUUCCCUGUCCUCUUGGGAGCUAUACUCUUCUGUAUCCCUGCUUCUGUUCAACGUAUCUGGCUCAAGAGACAUUUACAAAGGAAGGAAACACUCGUUGUAUGAAAAACAAACAUGAUAUAAACCUGUUUCGUUAGCUUUCAAGACUACCCUACCCAGGGGUGGCUACCCUAAAGAGAAUAGCAAAGUUGAUAAGAGAAAGAAUGAUAAAACUAUCAGAUUUCUCCCUAUCACAUUUUUCAAAAUAUUUCACCACAUCUGAAGAGGUAUUUUUCAUUCAUUUUCUGUAAGAUAGUAGAAAUGAAAGUGGUCUAAAACGCUAAAUAAAAGGGAUAUUGUUUGUA